UACUGCCAAAAGGUUUAUUUUACACUCGAGUUGCAAAUGAAUAUUGUGUAUACAUCAUACAGGAUGCAGGAGUAAUACAUGUACAUAUUUGUCAGUAACAACAAACUUCCAGAAAAUAAAACAUCCUAAGUUCUCUCUUUGUUCCAAUACUUGACUUACCUUUUUGCAAUAUAAAGACCAUUUAGGAGUGGCAGAAGAACAAAGAAUGGUCAUAACCUGUAACUGAGGAGUUUCUGGGUGCACACAAGGCAAACAAGUGAGGCACAGGAACAGGCUGCCCACAGAAGCUGCACAAUCACACUCCCCUGAGGCUUUCCAGAUCUUGCUGAAGCCUCAAGCCCUGCCUGGAAUUCAGCACUGACUCAGCUCUCAGCAGGAAGCUGGACUAGAGACUUCGCUCAAGAUCCAUUCCAAUCUGAAUGGUUACAAAAUUUGAUUAAAACACAAUCAGCAGCCAAAUUCAAACAAACCAGUGCAUGCCUCCUAUCUUCCCCACUCCCAACAAAAAAACAACACCCAUCUUUAAUGAAUCAUCUUUACAACAGUCCAGCAUGACUUAAAUCAAAGAAACAAGCAGCAAAUUAAGUGUACUGGAGAAGACCGACACCACAUUAAAAGGCCUUUGCACGACUUAAAAUUCUUUUUGUAACAGCAAACAGAGAUUUUUUUUCAACUGCUCUUUACACAUUUGCAAUUAUCAGCUGCAUUACAACACCAUAUAUAUUCCUAGUCAUUUUAAACUGGGAGAUCUCCUGUCCACACUGAGAAAGUUUCUAGUGGCCCUUGAUACACUGGCAGUGCCAUAUUGCCUUCAAGUGUCCCAGGGAAGCCAGAGAAACAGGGCUGGGAGAUGGAAAGGAAGUAAGGAAUCCCAGAACAUCUGUUUUAUCCUGGGGACAAUCUCUCUUCCUUUUGAGACCUCUUACUAUUGCUAGGGUUUAAAUGAAAAGCAAGUGGAACUAUCAGCAAGGACUCAGUAAUUUCCUAUUUUUAAUUCCAUAUGACAGAAAAUGGCAAUUAGACAAAAGCUGUAAGGCUGACACCCAUCACUAAGGCAGCUGUAGAACUGCAUACUGUAAUAUAAGCCAGGCAACAAGGAAUAAAUGUAAAACCUGAAAAGUACUAGAUUUUUUUUUGUGCCAGCAAACAACUGAUUCUCUAAAACAAAAUAAUUACUGUGGUGCAAAUAAAAAGUCAAUAAAUGUGUGUAUACCCACACCAAAUGUGACAUUCAGCUCUAUAACCCCCAGUUCCAAAACACUGAACUUGUCAGUUUUACAGAGAUUUUUGUUUCUCAAUCUCAACAUAUCUCAGGAUAAUUAUGAGCAGUCAAAGGCCAGACAAUUUGACCAACAGUGAAUCUCUGCAAACACACAACCUUCCACCUCUGAAAGCCUGCUAAAAGUGUGAAGUCAGACUGUGCAUCCACACAGAAACCAUGCACCCACCAGAGAGGCAGUUUUGGUUUGGUUUUAUGUUAGGGCAGCAUGGCUAGAGAAGCAGUAGAGCACUGAGCUCAGUCCUGCACCUGGAGGGUCUGGGUGGCACAGAAGUAAGAGGAGCACCGUGCCCAACUCUGUGUCCAGCCAGGAAAGCUCUUAGGCACGUUCUUAUUUCAAGCAACACUUAAAAGCACCAAAAUCAAGUUGCUAUAGCAAGAAAACAACUGUUAGCUGUACGUGCAAGAACAAGACAAAGUUACACACAGUUAAUACAAAGCAAUUAUGGGAAAAAUCUUUAUCUGAAAUGACAAAACUAAAGGCCCAAAUUCAAGGACUUUCGAUGUACUUGCAGAAACAAUCUAUUUCAAUUCCACAGUACUGAAAUAAGAUCAGAUUUGUGGGAUUCGGGUCUCUUUAAAACACAAAGCAAGUAAUAAUUUGAUGGAGUUCCUUCUUCAGCACACAAAACAGUGAAAGUCCAAUGACAGUUUAGUCAAUUUUGAGACUUUGAAGGGAGAAAAGAAGCCAAAUUGACACAGAGGUUAAAUCAGUGAAGAUAAAAGAUAAGAAAGAACAGAUAGUGAAGAGGGCUGGACUCUGAUACAUCUAACUCCGAGACAUUUGAUACGCAGGCAUGGGACAAGUGUCAGAGAUAGAAAGGUUGUGGCCUUGGAAAACAGGCAAGUAAAAUUGUCAGGGAUGUUAGAAAAUAGUCUAGAGGGAGUCAGAAAUAAAAAUUAGGCCUUCGAAUCUGAACAGAUCUGAGGCUGGCUGGAUACUAAAGAAAUAGUCUGAAGACAGAACCAUGGGAGAACCAGACUAGGGGAGAAAAGCACUGGAUUUUUGGGGCAUUCAAAUAAAGUGUAACAUAAAAAUACAAGAACAAACUGGAGAAAGGGUUUUUAGGUGCACGAAAUUAGAAGAGAGGGAGAAAAAAGAACAAAGUAUUAGAAACCAGAAACAGUGAUGAUGAUAGGUGCCAUCCUCUUAAAGACAGAUGAAAGAGAAACUUGGUUGCUACUUAAGGAAGAAGUAAUUCAGUGAAAGGAAUGAGAGGCAUAAAAGGUACAGAAAUAAAAAUGGCAAACUUGCACAAUUAAGAGGCAGAGAAGCUCAAUUCAGAAACAGAUUCUGAGAAUAAAAACAACUUUGAAAAGGAUCUUGUAUCAAGAAUGAAUGAAGAAUGAAAAUGAACAGCAGAUCUGCAAGCAAGCUCAACAAGAAAAGAAAAAAAAGGUAAGGUAAAAGUGGUUAUAAAGUCCAUUUGGGAAGAGCAUUGAAGCAGGUAAGGCAAAGCCGAGUCCAAAGCUGUGUUGUGCUGACACACUCUUCAGAUAUUCAGAAAGGCUGGAAUGGAAAUUAAGAAAUUACAAGAGAAUAUGUCUGGAGGGAGGAAUGGAGACAGGGCAGUGUGAGAAGCAGCCAAAGAAACCAUGUACAGAGAAGCAGACAGAUAAAAUAAAGACCAGUGAGUCAAAAGAAGUGAGGCCAAUGAAGGAAGAAGGCAGCAGUGAAGACAAAGGAGUCAAAAAGGUUAAUAGACUGGAGAUCCCAAAAGGAGUGAGUGACAGGGUAGAGGAGAGAGACAGACAGAUAAGCUGCAAGAGAGCAGGUAGUGAUCAGAGAAAGGGAAUUUAGAAAUUAGAGAUAAUAAAGUGAGCAUUUAGUAAAGAUAAGGUCAUGGGAAUGAUUGAGGCAGUGAGAAAAAUCUAUCUAAAACUAGAAAUCACAGGCAUUGGGCUGGAAAAACAGAAUGAAGAACAAAGGAUUAAAGUACUGAUCAGGAGAAAGGAACUGGCCUGCCCAUAGGGAGGGAUGAAAUCUGAAAAGACAGAAACAGGUUGAGUUUAGCAAGAUCACAAAGAAAGAUGCAAACUAAUGACCACUAGGAAAACUAGACACAGAGGACUUCAAACCAGGAAGAGAGUAGAGCUGACAACAGGACUGAUGAAGCAGAAGCCAGGAGUCAUAAAACUUUAGUGGUGAAUAUGAAGUGGAAAAUACAUUUAAAAAAACAUCAGAGAAGGGAACAAAGGGUCAGAGAAGGGAAUAAAGUUUAAAAAACAACUCUAAACAUCUGUAUUUUAGUCAUGUUCAGAAACAUAAGCAGCACCCCACCAGGCAGGGUCAGCACCUCUGUUUCCCUCCUCACCAGAAAGAUUUCCUCACCCAGAGAUCAGAAUUUCAAAAGACCAACCCUGCCACUGGCUAGACAAUGUGAGGAUAUGGCAGGGUUGGGAAAGUUUUGACUAUUGAAGUAGAUAAAGACUAUUAAAGACUAUUAAAAAUUAUGGAAAAACAGUGAUUUGACCUCUGCCAUCCAGCACCUCUAUGUCUUCACAAAACAAGACCUGCGUUGACUCUUCCUCACAUCUUCCUGUUCCUACCAUCUCUCACAGCCAAUGCAGCAUUCACCAGCACUCCAACUCAGCUGUUAAGAUUGCCACCACACUGUGUAACAGCAAAGAUAAGAGAUUAAGCAGACAGAUUGCUGCAAACAAACAUCACUGCAAUUUUGGGUCCCAUUCAGAGGUAUCUGAGAACCACUGGCAUGAAAGUUCUCCAUUUCCAAGCUUCUGUCAAGAAUUCCAUUCUAUGGCUUUUCUCAUCAUGAGCAUGAAUAAAACACCAGCCUUCUCAGACACUUCUAAUACUGCAUUUCAUCUUCUGCUAUACUGGCAUGCUUUUAAAGUUUCUGCUCAUUACAAAAACACAACACACUUCUAUUGCCUGCUCAAACAAUUGGAACCUGGAUCAUUAGGAGUGCAACAGAAGAAGGGAAAAAACCCAAAUUAUUCCCUGCUACCAAACCAGUAACACACAGAGUAUAAAAAGUGAGCUGAGCACAUCAUUUCUAUCUACCCUACUGAUUACUGUUUGUUUCUGUAGAUGUGGUUGACUCAAAAUUACUGAAUUACAUAAAAACCAGCUGAAAUAUAAACAAGAGCUCACAGGACUGGGGCCUUAGUGGGAGUUCUUUGUUAUUUUUAUGCUUUAUCAAGUAUUUUAAUACGGCUUGAAAAGAGUU